rnacentral:lncRNA from 1 species
AAAAUUGGAGGGAAAGACAUUUUGUAUUGCUUAGAAAAUAAGUUACAACCAUACAAGGGUAAUUCAUGUUCAAAACACCAAAGUACAUGACAAAAAUCCAAAAUUUCAAACAUGAUACAAAGUACACAUUUUGACAUAGGGUUGACUUUGGUCAACUAUUGACUUUUGGGUCAACAAUAGACCAAAGUAAACUUUUUAAUCCCAAAACCCUAAUUCUAUUGUCUUCAUGCAUAAGAUACUCAAAAGCAUUCAAGUCUUUAUGCCUUGAUCAAACCCUCAUAAACCAUAACCAAACCUUGCCACCUCCAUGCCAGGCCAAUGUCAACUCCAUCGUAGGUACGUCAUCCCUGCAUCAAACAAACCAAACACACACACAAUCAGAACUCAUACCAUACAUUAACAUAUGACCUAUACCCAAUCCAACCAACCAAUAAACAUGACAAUCAUUUCCUACAAAAAUAUAAGUCAAUCCACAUAACUCAAUCAUCCAUCAUACACCAACCUAUCAACAAUCUAAAAGGUCCUAUUAUCCAUGUUAAUUCAUCUCAAUUUGCUAACAGUUACUAACAAAAAAAAUUCCAUAACAACCUAUAUUUUUAUUAUUAGCUACUAGCAACAACUCUAACACACACAUUCCAUCAAGUGUUCACAUAGUAGAGUUAAGUUAGACUAGUACCACAAAUUGCAUUGACAUGCACAUGCAAUUCGAGCACCUAACUAAGCCUGUUUUUGGUUUGGUAGCGCUGUAACUUAAGUCAUAAACAAAAAGUCAGAGUUCUACUUGAUUCCAUAAACUUUCAACACAUUUUAGUUGGCAUAACCAUGUGAUUCAUCAUGUUUUCCUAAUUCACCAUCGAUUAACCCUAACUAUUCAAAUACCAUAGCAUAGUAACACACCAACUUCAACUAAUAUUUCCAAAUUAACCAAGAGCCAUAACAAUUCAUAACACAUUCAAUAAAACACCAAUGCAUACUAACAUAGUUGGAAAUUAACCAUUGCUUACAACAAUUAUUAACAUCCCUUAACACCAUCACUAACUACCUCGAGUUUCUAUUUCAUUAGCUAACUGUUUUUCCUAACCUAUACUAACGGUUCUAACUAACUUUCACUAACAUCUAAAUUUAUAACAAUCCCAUUUCUUAAUUCUAACUGUCAUGACUACUCCACUAUAACACAAUUAAAUCUAACAAAGCUACAUUACUAACUCAUUUAUCACUAACAACUAACCAUAACUGAAUUUCAAUUACAAAAUUAGCCUAACUGUUUUAACAAAGAGCUAACAAAACCACCAAUAGCCAUGCUAACAUUUUAACUGGAAGCUAUAUUUUUUUUUCAAUUCAUCCAAUAUUACAAUAACAGAAGUUAAUAGAACUUCACUAACUAAAUCCAAAACUAACUUAAACCAACUAUAACUAACAAUUAACAUAAUUUUUUAACAAUGUGAAUCAUCCUAACAAACUUUUUCUCUAACAUAACUGAAAUGAAAUUAUGCCCAAACUCUAUUAACAUACCUUAAUGACUUCCCGAUUCAGUUACUCAAUUCAAACUCUAUAUAUUCGACUCUCCACUCCGAUUCAUCAGCAACAAUCAUUCAUUCACUCUGCACUCACAAACAAAAUCUCAAUCCUCUCCAUUUUCACUUUGUGAGCAUCUUCAACCUCUCUGCAUAACCCUCUCUAUUUCUUCACUCUCUCAAGCGCAACAACCAAAAAACCACUGUUUCAACAUCUACGGACUAAAGAAGAGAAGAAAAGGAAAGAAGAAUUUGAGCAAAUAUGAGUCGAAAUCGAGAGUACUUGUAGCAUUGAGCUUCUUCCGUUCUUCUGUUUCAUUCUUCUUCAACUCCUACGACCCCUGGGCAAUUCUCCUCCUGGUCGAUGAGUUCUUUGAUUUCUUCAUUCAUUCUCGUUGAUACCAUUACCUUCAUUGUAGAAUAAGGCUCUAUGGAUCAAAGCCCUAACGUUUUAGGCUUUGAUCCCUCCUCUAGAGCAUUUAAUUUUGAUUUUGAUUUUUAGGGUUCUUGAAUAUUUUUGUUCAAUUUGAGAAUUAUGGUAGGAAUAUGAGGAAAUUGAUGAUAGAUUGUGAAAGAGCAUGGAUGGACGAGCAUUUUGACAUUGAUUUGGUGGUGUUUGGACCUCCACCGCUGCCGGAGGCGAUUUCCGGUGCGGUGGAAUUUUUGGCCAUAGCUUGGAGGGAAAUAACGCGUUUGGACUGAGUGAUUUGAACUUGUUUCUGAAAUAUCUUCC